rnacentral:lncRNA from 1 species
GAACACUUGUGGGGCAAUUCAGAAGGAUGAAUUUCUUUCUUUAGUUAAAUUCUGUCUAUUUUUGUAACUAUGGGGAUAGGGAGGAAGAGAAGAUGAAUGUAAAAAGUUAGGACAAAGUUGUCCAACUUUAUAGGUUUUGUUUUGCAUGUACAUAUAUUUUCCCAUGGUAAAUAAAAUUAUAUAUAUAUAUUCCUACUAUUAAUAAGGUACAGUUUGAGAAGCUUGGGGUUAUCGGGAGUAUUUUGGAAAAAUUACAACUGAUUUAACCAAACACACGUAGUAUUCUUGUUUUUCCCGGUUUUGACACGUACAAACGCUUAGUGCAUACGCUAGUUCUUCCUCCAGAUUUUCACAGUUGCUCAAUUCCUCUUCCAGUUUUGCUCUUGGAAAAUGGGGAAUUUCCCUUUUUUCCCCCGAUUUCCCCUAGAAUUUUUGUAAAUUAACAUAGGCAUCCGAUCUCAGACCUUAUUGUCCAACGAUUUCACUUUUCUCUCUGGAUCUAAACUCUAUGCUGUGACAAGAUAGUUCCAUCACAAAUCUCUUGUUCAACUUGAAAGGUAAUUUAUAUUUCUUGUUUGCUGCAGAGAAAUGAUUUUUUUAAAAUGAAUUUAUUUGGCUCUAGGUAUUUUCCAGAUUGAUGUUGUGCAAAAAUUGUUUAUAUUGGGUAAAUUGCUUACUGCGACAGCUUGUGAACACUGGUGCUUAACCAAAAGUCCUAAAUUGACAGAAGUGCUAACAAUACUCUUAUUAAUGAAGACACGAGGAAAUGAGUUGAGUUGGAAAUGUGAUUUUUUCAAUUGAAGCACGACUAUAGAAGUGUAAGUCAUAUAGGUAUUCCUCUGUCCUAAUAGACUUGGUUGUUUUCUUUUUUUCCUGCGUAGAAAAACCUUAUUUGAACUGUAGGAAUGCAAUGAGUCUUCUUUAGUUUUGACACGUUCCCUUACCAGGGCUCCAACAAACGCUCAGCAUCUCGCUUCCUCCAGAUUUGCACAACCUCUAUCUGUUCUUCCUCCAAAUUUUCACACCUGCUCAACUGCUCUUCCAAUGUCCUUUGUCUCUUUCAGUCUUCUCUCUUCCUACACAGUUUAUUAGUGCUGGUUGUAGGUGAGUUUUGCUUUCUUAUUUUCCUGAUUUUAGGAAUAGUAAUUGCGUAAAAAUUAUUUAAAUUGGGUAAAACUGCGAAAGCUCUUAUGAUUUUUGGAAUAGCUGUUGCCUAGAACAACUCAAAUUGUUUUUAUAUUACUCGAUCCUAUUUGUGCGAGGAAAGCUCCUUUUUUUUUUUUUAUUUACUUUUCUAUUUGAAGUUUGGUCAUCAAUCGGAAGGCCCUUUUCUGUUAAAAAAAGAAUUAAGUUUCAAUAAGAGGACUCAUCCUCUUAGUUUACUGAAAGUUUAUAUUUCUAACUCCUUUGUUUCACCUUCGUUAGUCUGAGAAUUGACUCCUUCACAGUCAAAUAUGCUUGGGAUUUGUAGAAAAGUUUGUACCUUUUUAUGCUAAAUCUUGAGAUGCCAACUUGGAUUUGUUGUUUAAAUUAAUAAAAGUCUUUUAUUUUGCUAUGUGAAUUCUAUACAGAGGAAAGUUUCAGUUCUUUGUUGGGAUUGAGUUGAAUGGUUCAUGAGCUUUUUUAGAUCAUUAUAGUUGAAAUUGGGUUAGUUUAUAAAUUGGAAUGCUAUCGUUGUCUAAUUUUAAGAUUCAAAGGCCUAAAAUGUUGCUUCUAUUGUUUUGAGAUGUUCUUUUCUCAUGGAUUUUGCUUUUUAGAGGACUCUAUAAAGUUCCAAUCUUGGGGGAAAGGGGGGAGGGGGGAUGUAGAAGCUCUGCCUAAAUUUUCGAUGUAAGAAAGAGCAAAAAAAUAAUAGCAUUUUGGCAUUUGAGUUCACAGAUUGGUGCAAUUUGGUAACUUGUAUUUGGUAUGUUGGAAGGAUAGACUGAGUUCUCUAUUCUGAUUUGAUAUGUUAGUUAUAACUUCAGCGAGAUCAAUUAAAAAUCAUAUUUAGGGUUAUUCUUGCAAGUCCUUGUUGUCUGUACUCAUAGAGAUUUAACUAUAAAUUUAUCAAUCCCAUAUCUGCAAUAUCAUAACUGCCCAAGAGAAAUUAAAUAAAUGAAGUAUAACCUGAUCUAUUUAUGAGUAAACAUGCUAAGUCAUCCUUCAUGGUGUUUAUACAUCCAGAAUUUCUGCCGGAGUGAGAGUAGCGACUGCAUUACUUAGAAUUUUAGCUGCUAUUGGAUUUUGUUAUUUUUUUUCAAGAUACGGCAGAAGAAGAAAAGGGAAGAGCAGCAAGCUCGCGUCCUAAAGCUCUUUGAUGAAGAUGAUGAUCUAAUGUUGAGCUUGGUAUUCGGGAUUGAGAUUAUAUAUUCUCCUUCUAUAACACAGUGCAUUUUAGCAGAGGUGCGAACACUGCCAUUUUCCAAAAUAUUGUGUUUAUUUCUUUUUAGUUUGUCUCAGCAAACAAAAUUUAGUCUUUGCAUGUGUACAAUUUAAGAUGAUUUAAAGAUUUUAUUUUUGUUUUAGCUUGUAAUGUAUUUUCUUAAUGGUACAUGUGAUUUCUUAAUAUACCCUGUAUUCAUGCAACACUAAAAACAACUAUAAUCUGAAUAUGCUAUCUCCAAAUUUGAUAUCUAGCACCUAUUACAUGCUGCGAUCGUAUAUAACUCGAGCAGAGAAGGAGAGAACUGAGAAAGAUGUGAAAGCUAUACAGCAAAAGGAGAACGGACAUGGCUGACAGCCUCAAACAAUCACAUCGGAAGACAACAUUGAGUAAGAUGAAGAGGCUGGAACUCCUGAGAUGCAAGUUGAUAAGAUGCAUCAAGACAAAGAAGAAAUACAUGUCGUUAACUAAUCAUCAAGAUAUAAGACUUUGUUUUUACAAGGUACAUAUAUAAUCCAUUUUGUUUCAUAGUUUUAGUUGGAUUUCAUUUACCAAUGCAUAUGCACAAUUUAUAUGACUCUAAAACUUAAAAAAUGUGUCAUGUAAUUGUUGUUGUGUUACAAUAGUAAUAUAUAUGAUCUGAAAGUUCUUCUAUGAUCCCCUGGUUAUGCUUUUGUUGAGGCGAGUUUUAGUUGAACUAGCUUAUAUGAACUUCAUGCAUAUACCCCUUCCAAAAUUUUAAGGCCUUCGACAUCUUUUUUCUGCAAAUAUCAAUAGUUUGGAGAGGCUUAUAAGGCUGCUGAUGUUUUUCACGGGCGUGAUGGCUAUGAUUUUGAUGGGCAUUGCUUGACGGUUAGUAAACUCUAUUGUUGUAUGAUUUUUUCCAUUGUAAAGCCUCAAAGCAAUAGAGACAUUGUUUAUUUGCAACUUUUUAUCCUUUUUAUACAAUUCUUUUUGCAGAUUUUAGUUUAGUGUUGCUACAAAUGGAUUCAAUGACGUGUAAGAAUAUAAUGCAUGUGUCUUACAUGAAAUACACCGGAAACCAUUCUUUGUGUUCAUAUUUGAUCAUUGUUCAUUCCUGUGUCGGAAUGUGUAUCUGGUUUAGGUUUUUUUCUGACUUUCUAGGGGUACGGGUAAUAUUUUGGGAACUUUUUUCGGUCGACUUUGCAUACAGAAACCUACACAAUGUUUGUAAUGAUUGGAAUCACCUAGACAAUCUAUAUAGCCAUGUCAUCAAAGAUGAAUAGGACUAUAGGAUUCAACUCUACUUCAUGCUUCUAAAUUCAGUUGAAAGUUGUGAUUACGUUCAAGGAUAAAGUCUUGUUUGAACUUUUUGAUAUGUCUAUGGGAGAACUUUCAUUAUUAAUAAAUAGUGUUUCUAGAAUAUUUCAUUGAGCUUGUUAAUAGACUAUUAAGCUAUUUAUGCUUGAAUCACGUUAGCAAAUAUCGAUUCAAUUAGCUAAUGACUGAUACUGUAGUUGUUCUUUUUGAUUCGUUUUGCACUAGACAUUAUCAUUGCUGAAUGUAUACUAACAAGGUCAGUAUGCUAAAUUAGUUGUCCUCACUAAUGCCAAAAGAGUGGGUUAUUCAUUGAAAUCGAAAUUCAUUGCCUUUCUGGUUUCUUAUUUCGUUAAGUGGGCUGCAUUGAUUUCUGAUGGCUUUUUCAUAAUUUUUUAUGCUCUGGUGGUACAAGUAAUCACAGUUCAGCAACACUUUCAUGUUCAAUAGUGCACCGUCUGCAUUUUAUUUUAAUAAUUAAUAAGCUAAAGCUAAAAUGUUUGAUGGUGAGAGUGGAGAUACAUUUUCAAUAUUUUCAUUUCUUAAUAUAAUGAUAUGAUUAUAAAGUAAGUAGCAAGAAGUAGUAUAAAUAUUGUAUAUAGCUAUUUUAAUAUUUAUGGCACUAACUUUUAUUCAUCUAACUAUUUACUUUGAUCUAGAUUUAGUGAGUAAUGGCUUAUUGUUGUAGAAUUUUAAAACCAAAGAGUUCAAACAUUUUGAUUCAAUGUAAUUGUAACAACAACUCCUAAAAAAUUGUUGGUUUCUUUACAACUAUGUUUACAAGACUCAAAUGUUUAAUUUCAGCAGCAUGUACACAGGUGUGUUUGUCUGCUAUGGUCGUCAUCCUGAUGUGGUUAGUCACUGAAUCAUCUAAUGUGGGCAGGGUAUGCCGAAGUUUUUAUCUCGCUGUUGUGAAUGUUUAACGUAUCGAAUUUCUCUUCAUGACAGAGAAACACUUGCACCUGAUGGGCAACGAAGGAUGAUCACUUUUAAAGAAUAACAAGCGCAACAAGAUUAUUGGCUAUUUGAGUGAGAUGUAUAGUUACUGUGCUGCCUUUGUCGUCUAUUAUAUAACAAGAAAAAUUAUUCACAUUUCCAACUUCAUACUCUUUCCUUUGAGCAUGUUACCAUUGUUAAAAAAAUUAUUCUUUUGCCCAAUUACAUUUUCUUAAGAUAUAUAUCUUUCCUUUACCUUAGGUUUCUAAGAUCAACUACGUGGAGAGGGUGUGAUGGAAAUAGUGAAUCAUGCUAAAUAUUCUUUAUAUUUAUGCUAGAGACAAAUCUAAAAACCUUGGAACAAAAUUAAGAAAAAGUUAUUGCUACUGCGCUUGGGCCCGUGCUCGCUACCCUCACUAAUCCACUUCAAAAGGGACAGUUAAG